CCUACGGGUGGCAGCAGUGAGGAAUAUUGGUCAAUGGGCGCGAGCCUGAACCAGCCAAGUAGCGUGAAGGAUGACUGCCCUACGGGUUGUAAACUUCUCUUAUAAAGGAAUAAUGUGAGGCACGUGUGCCUUUUUCUCUGUACUUUAUGAAUCAGGAUGGGGUAAAUCCGUGCCAGCAGCCGCCGUAAUCCGGAGGUGUCGAGCGUUAUCCGGUCUUAGUGGGUUUAAUGGGACCGUUGAUGGGUUGUUAAGUCAGUUGGGAAAGUUUGCGGCUUAACCGUAGAAUUGCAAUGGAUACUGGCAGUCUUGGAUACAGGUGGGGUAGGCGGAAUUCGUGGGGGUGCGGUGAAAUGCU
rnacentral:rRNA from 1 species